AGGAAUAUUGGUCAAUGGACGAGAGUCUGAACCAGCCAAGUAGCGUGAAGGAUGACUGCCCUAUGGGUUGUAAACUUCUUUUAUACGGGAAUAAAGUUAGCCACGUGUGGCUUUUUGUAUGUACCGUAUGAAUAAGGAUCGGCUAACUCCGUGCCAGCAGCCGCGGUAAUACGGAGGAUCCGAGCGUUAUCCGGAUUUAUUGGGUUUAAAGGGAGCGUAGGCGGGUUGUUAAGUCAGUUGUGAAAGUUUGCAGCUCAACCGUAAAAUUGCAGUUGAUACUGGCGACCUUGAGUGCAACAGAGGUAGGCGGAAUUCGUGGUGUAGCGGUGAAAUGCUUAGAUAUCACGAAGAACUCCGAUUGCGAAGGCAGCUUACUGGAUUGUAACUGACGCUGAUGCUCGAAAGUGUGGGUAUCAAACAGGAUUAGAUACCCUGGUAGUCCACACAGUAAACGAUGAAUACUCGCUGUUGGCGAUAUACGGUCAGCGGCCAAGCGAAAGCAUUAAGUAUUCCACCUGGGGAGUACGCCGGCAACGGUGAAACUCAAAGGAAUUGACGGGGGCCCGCACAAGCGGAGGAACAUGUGGUUUAAUUCGAUGAUACGCGAGGAACCUUACCCGGGCUUAAAUUGCAACUGACUGAACCGGAAACGGUUCCUUCUUCGGACAGUUGUGAAGGUGCUGCAUGGUUGUCGUCAGCUCGUGCCGUGAGGUGUCGGCUUAAGUGCCAUAACGAGCGCAACCCUUAUCGAUAGUUACUAGCAGGUCAUGCUGAGGACUCUAUUGAGACUGCCGUCGUAAGAUGUGAGGAAGGUGGGGAUGACGUCAAAUCAGCACGGCCCUUACGUCCGGGGCUACACACGUGUUACAAUGGGGGGUACAGAAGGCAGCUACACGGCGACGUGGUGCUAAUCCCGAAAGCCUCUCUCAGUUCGGAUUGGAGUCUGCAACCCGACUCCAUGAAGCUGGAUUCGCUAGUAAUCGCGCAUCAGCCACGGCGCGGUGAAUACGUUCCCG
rnacentral:rRNA from 1 species